GAUGGACGCUGGCGGCGUGCCUAAUACAUGCAAGUCGAGCGAACAGAUGAGGAGCUUGCUCCUCUGACGUUAGCGGCGGACGGGUGAGUAACACGUGGAUAACCUACCUAUAAGACUGAGAUAACUUCGGGAAACCGGAGCUAAUACCGGAUAAUAUAUUGAACCGCAUGGUUCAAUAGUGAAAGACGGUUUUGCUGUCACUUAUAGAUGGAUCCGCGCCGCAUUAGCUAGUUGGUAAGGUAACGGCUUACCAAGGCAACGAUGCGUAGCCGACCUGAGAGGGUGAUCGGCCACACUGGAACUGAGACACGGUCCAGACUCCUACGGGAGGCAGCAGUAGGGAAUCUUCCGCAAUGGGCGAAAGCCUGACGGAGCAACGCCGCGUGAGUGAUGAAGGUCUUCGGAUCGUAAAACUCUGUUAUUAGGGAAGAACAAAUGUGUAAGUAACUAUGCACGUCUUGACGGUACCUAAUCAGAAAGCCACGGCUAACUACGUG
rnacentral:rRNA from 1 species